AGUAGUUUUUUAAUUGAAAACUUGUAUGAAUGGUUUAACGAGAUAUUUUCUGUUUCAUAAAAAUUUUAAUAGAAUUUAAUUUUUUAGUUAAAAAGCUAAGAUUAAAUUUAAAGACGAGAAGACCCUAUAGAUUUUUAUAUAUUAUAGAUUAAUUAUUAUAAAUAAUAAUUUAAUUUUUAUUUGAUAAUGUAUUUUAUUGGGGUGAUAGUAAAAAUUAUUUAUCUUUUAUUAUUUUUUAACUAGAUUUAUGAUU
rnacentral:rRNA from 1 species